rnacentral:rRNA from 1 species
AGUGAACGCUGGCGGUAGGCCUAACACAUGCAAGUCGAACGGCAGCACAGUAAGAGCUUGCUCUUACAGGUGGCGAGUGGCGGACGGGUGAGGAAUACAUCGGAAUCUACUUUUUCGUGGGGGAUAACGUAGGGAAACUUACGCUAAUACCGCAUACGACCUACGGGUGAAAGCAGGGGAUCUUCGGACCUUGCGCGAUUGAAUGAGCCGAUGUCGGAUUAGCUAGUUGGCGGGGUAAAGGCCCACCAAGGCGACGAUCCGUAGCUGGUCUGAGAGGAUGAUCAGCCACACUGGAACUGAGACACGGUCCAGACUCCUACGGGAGGCAGCAGUGGGGAAUACUGGACAAUGGGCGCAAGCCUGAUCCAGCCAUACCGCGUGGGUGAAGAAGGCCUUCGGGUUGUAAAGCCCUUUUGUUGGGAAAGAAAAGCAGCAGGUUAAUACCCCGCUGUUCUGACGGUACCCAAAGAAUAAGCACCGGCUAACUUCGUG